CGGAAACCAAUUUCAUAGUAGUUAAUUUCAAAUGGUGAUCUGAGAAAUGAAUAAACAGGUAAAAAAUUAUAUCAAAGAGUUGAAAAUAUGUUAUAUUCCAAUUAUGAACCACAUAAUGACAUGGUCCUAUCAAUCAAAGAAAGCCCGUCAUGAUUUAAUAUGAUGUUACGAUAAGAAUAACCUAGCUAAAAAGGAUAACACUGAG
rnacentral:misc_RNA from 1 species